rnacentral:misc_RNA from 1 species
GAUACAAGAUUUUAUUUGGUUCAAUCAAUAGAUCUAUAUCCCCAGGAGAGAGAGCUAGAGAUUUCACUAUAGAACAAUAGCGAUUACACGAUACAAGUUGUCUUCAAUCUCACAACCCCUUGCCCUUUACACGCAAAAUACAAUAGAACACACAAGAAUUUCGCCUUUGUCUAGAGCCCAAAACCAACUAGAAUACACAAAAAUUACAACUUUGGGGGGUUUGUCCUUCUUCUAGAGUUAUUAGGAUAUGUUUCCCAUGUUUUAGAUGAGUAUUUAUAGUGUUUGGGAGUCUUAAAUCAUG